GCGCUGGUGGCAAAGUGGUUAAGUGCUAUGGCUGCUAACCCAAAGGUCAGCAGUUCAAAUCUGCCAGGCGCU
rnacentral:tRNA from 1 species